rnacentral:rRNA from 1 species
GUUAUAUGGUCAAGCGAUCAAGCGCACACGGUGGAUGCCUAGGCAGUCAGAGGCGAUGAAGGACGUGGAAGCCUGCGAUAAGCCUCGGGGAGUCGGCAAACAGACUUUGAUCCGAGGAUUUCCGAAUGGGGAAACCCACCUACCAUAAGGUAGGUAUCCUUAACUGAAUCCAUAGGUUAAGGAAGCGAACCGGGAGAACUGAAACAUCUAAGUAACCCGAGGAAAAGAAAUCAACCGAGAUUCCGAAAGUAGCGGCGAGCGAAAUCGGACCAGCCCUUAAGCUAAGGGACGGAUAGGAGAAGGCUCUGGAAAGUGCCGCCAUAGCGGGUGAUAGCCCCGUAUCUUAAAUCCCAACUUAGUGAAAUCGAGUAGGACGGGACACGUGUAAUCCUGUCUGAAUAUGGGGGGACCAUCCUCCAAGGCUAAAUACUCCUGACUGACCGAUAGUGAACCAGUACCGUGAGGGAAAGGCGAAAAGAACCCCUGUGAGGGGAGUGAAAUAGAUCCUGAAACCGUGUGCGUACAAGCAGUCGGAGCAGACUUGUUCUGUGACGGCGUACCUUUUGUAUAAUGGGUCAGCGACUUAUUUUCAGUGGCGAGCUUAACCGUUAGGGGAGGCGUAGGGAAACCGAGUCUUAAUAGGGCGUCAAGUCGCUGGGAAUAGACCCGAAACCGGGCGAUCUAUCCAUGGGCAGGGUGAAGAUUGAGUAACAUCAAUUGGAGGCCCGAACCGUAAUCUGUUGAAAAAGAUUCGGAUGACCUGUGGAUCGGAGUGAAAGGCUAAUCAAGCCCGGAGAUAGCUGGUUCUCCUCGAAAGCUAUUUAGGUAGCGCCUCGUGUAUCACCACCGGAGGUAGAGCACUGUUUGGACUAGGGGGCCAUCCCGGCUUACCAACUCCAUGCAAACUCCGAAUGCCGGUGAGUGCAGCACGGGAGACAGACGGCGGGUGCUAACGUCCGUCGUCAAAAGGGAAACAACCCAGACCGUCAGCUAAGGUCCCAAAAUCAUAGUUAAGUGGGAAACGAUGUGGGAAGGCUAAAACAGCUAGGAGGUUGGCUUAGAAGCAGCCACCCUUUAAAGAAAGCGUAAUAGCUCACUAGUCGAGUCGGCCCGCGCGGAAGAUGUAACGGGGCUCAAACUAUGUACCGAAGCUACGGGUGUCACUUUGUGACGCGGUAGAGGAGCGUUCUGUAGGCCGUUGAAGGUGAAUCGUAAGGUUUGCUGGAGGUAUCAGAAGUGCGAAUGCUGACAUGAGUAACGAUAAUGCGGGUGAAAAACCCGCACGCCGGAAGACCAAGGGUUCCUAUCCCAUGCUAAUCAGGGUAGGGUGAGUCGGCCCCUAAGGCGAGGGCGAAAGCCGUAGUCGAUGGGAAACGGGUCAAUAUUCCCGUACCACUUAAUAUUGCGACGAGGGGACGGAGAAGGCUAGGUGAGCCAGGCGUUGGUUGUCCUGGUGAAAAUCCGUAGGUGGUGUACUUAGGCAAAUCCGGGUACACAACACCGAGAGAUGAGACGAACACACCACGGUGUGGAAGUCAUUGAUGCCACGCUUCCAGGAAAAGCCUCUAAGCUUCAGAUGUUAAGUGACCGUACCCCAAACCGACACAGGUGGUCAGGUAGAGAAUACCAAGGCGCUUGAGAGAACUCGGGUGAAGGAACUAGGCAAAAUGGUGCCGUAACUUCGGGAGAAGGCACGCCGGCAUUAGGUGAUGGGACUCGCUCCCUGAGCCGAAGCCGGUCGAAGAUACCAGGUCCCUGCAACUGUUUAUUAAAAACACAGCACUCUGCAAACUCGCAAGAGGAUGUAUAGGGUGUGACGCCUGCCCGGUGCCGGAAGGUUAAUUGAUGGGGUUAGUCUUCGGACGAAGCUCUUGAUCGAAGCCCCGGUAAACGGCGGCCGUAACUAUAACGGUCCUAAGGUAGCGAAAUUCCUUGUCGGGUAAGUUCCGACCUGCACGAAUGGCGUAAUGAUGGGGACGCUGUCUCCACCCGAGACUCAGUGAAAUUGAAAUCGCAGUGAAGAUGCUGUGUAUCCGCGGCUAGACGGAAAGACCCCGUGAACCUUUACUACAGCUUUACACUGGACUUUGAUGUUACUUGUGUAGGAUAGCUGGGAGGCUUUGAAACCGGAACGCCAGUUUCGGUGGAGCCAAUCUUGAAAUACCAGCCUGGUAACAUUGAGGUUCUAACCCAGACCCGUAAUCCGGGUCGGGGACCGUGUAUGGUGGGUAGUUUGACUGGGGCGGUCUCCUCCAAAAGAGUAACGGAGGAGCACAAAGGUACCCUCAGGCUGGUCGGAAAUCAGCCAAUGAGUGCAAGAGCAUAAGGGUGCUUGACUGCGAGUCCAACACGACGAGCAGGUGCGAAAGCAGGUUCUAGUGAUCCGGUGGUUCUGUAUGGAAGGGCCAUCGCUCAACGGAUAAAAGGUACUCCGGGGAUAACAGGCUGAUACCGCCCAAGAGUUCACAUCGACGGCGGUGUUUGGCACCUCGAUGUCGGCUCAUCACAUCCUGGGGCUGAAGUCGGUCCCAAGGGUAUGGCUGUUCGCCAUUUAAAGUGGUACGCGAGCUGGGUUUAGAACGUCGUGAGACAGUUCGGUCCCUAUCUGCCGUGGACGUUGGAAACUUGAGAAGAGCUGCUCCUAGUACGAGAGGACCGGAGUGGACGAACCUCUGGUGUUCGGGUUGUGAUGCCAAUCGCAUUGCCCGGUAGCUACGUUCGGACAGGAUAACCGCUGAAAGCAUCUAAGCGGGAAGCCCCCUUCAAGAUUAGGUUUCCCUGGAGCCUUGAGCUCCCUAAAGGGCCCUCGAAGACUACGAGGUUGAUAGGCUGGGUGUGGAAGUGCAGCAAUGCAUUGAGCUAACCAGUACUAAUGACCCGUGAGGCUUGACCAUAUAACACCCAAG